CCCCACUCUACCAGCUCUACCUUGAUGCAAGAGAGGAGGCUCUCACUGAUGACCUACCAGAUCUUGACACAGGGGCUGCACUUUUAUUCCUGCCAUACGUCUUCAAGGAGAAACUGGAUCUCUUUGUCAUACUUGGAGAGGUUCAUCCUAAAACCCCCUAUCCAACUGUUCAGCUACUUCAUGAAGACUGGAAACCAGUGUUCUCCAGAAGCGCUCCAAACAUUGUGAAGUUGGAUGGCAGUGAAGUGUGCAGAACCUCGUGUAUUUUUGAAGGAAUCAUCUCUUCUUUCUGCUUGUAUUUUGUCUUCAACCUUGCUUACCCAAAACAUCUGAAGAACACCCUGAUUUUUCUCCAAAAGUACAUUGUGAAAAUAGAUGAGGGUGAGGACCGGCCUCUGCCAAUCACAGUCACCAGACAAAUAAAUCUUCUGUAUUGACCACCAUGCCUCAGCCAUAUCAGUGCUCCAAAUGUGGCAGAAGAACCUUUAGUUUGAUAAAGCUUAUUCAGCACAUAGGACUUAUUCAUUCCCAUGAUGCCAAUUUUGAUAUAACUUGUGGACUCAGUGACUGCUGUUCUUCUGUUACACCAGAGUGUCAUUAUUUAAUCCACUAUGCAAGACUGAUUGAAAUGUU